rnacentral:rRNA from 1 species
GACGAACGCUGGCGGCGUGCUUAACACAUGCAAGUCGAACGGAAAGGCCCUGCUUUUGUGGGGUGCUCGAGUGGCGAACGGGUGAGUAACACGUGAGUAACCUGCCCUUGACUUUGGGAUAACUUCAGGAAACUGGGGCUAAUACCGGAUAGGAGCUCCUGCUGCAUGGUGGGGGUUGGAAAGUUUCGGCGGUUGGGGAUGGACUCGCGGCUUAUCAGCUUGUUGGUGGGGGAGUGGCUUACCAAGGCUUUGACGGGUAGCCGGCCUGAGAGGGUGACCGGCCACAUUGGGCCUGAGAUACGGCCCAGACUCCUACGGGAGGCAGCAGGGGGGAAUAUCGCACAAUGGGAGGAAGCCUGAUGCAGCAACGCCGCGUGCGGGAUGACGGCCUUCGGGUUGUAAACCGCUUUAGCCUGUGACGAAGCGUGAGUGACGGUAAUGGGUAAAGAAGCACCGGCUAACUACGUG